CAUUAAAUCUCCCAUAUCAGUAGUUAAAUGAAGACCUUUAGCCAUAGGAAAGGUUGCACCUGCAUCGAUAACCAUAUCCAUGAUAUAUUUACACUGAUUGAGAAAUAAACCUUUGAAUGAUCGAGCUAAUUCAAUGCCCAAGAAGUACUUGACAUAGCCAAGAUCCUUAAUAGUGAGUUUAGAAUCAAGGAAUUUUUUAGUAGCAAGGAUGUCAUCUUCACGUGUUCUAGUGAUCAAGACAUCGUCAACAUAAACCAAGAGAGCUUGAAACUAAUUCUCAGAUGUCUUUGUGAAAAAACAAUGAUCAGAUGGAGAUUGAUGAAAAUUGAAUUCUUUCAACUUACUAGUGAAUUGUUUAUUCGAUUGAUGCUUUGCUUGCUUUAUGCCGUAGAGGGAUUUGAUGAGUUUACAUACUUGGCCCUUCUUAGCUUUAUCAUGCCCUUCAGGAGGAAGCAUAUACAGGUCUUCAUCGAUAUAACCAUGAAGAUAAGCAUUGUUUAUAUCAAGUUGGUGAAUGGGCCAUUGUUUGGCUGUGUCAAUGGCAAGAAACACCCGAACUGAAACAAUUUUUGCCACUAGAGAAAAACUAUCCACAUAAUCAAUCCAUGCCACCUACAGCUUGCAAAUAUUUUCACCAAGACCAUAUCAGCAACAGGCCUCAAUUUCAU
rnacentral:misc_RNA from 1 species